UGGGGAAUAUUGCACAAUGGGCGCAAGCCUGAUGCAGCCAUGCCGCGUGUGUGAAGAAGGCCUUCGGGUUGUAAAGCACUUUCAGCGAGGAGGAAGGUGGUGAGCUUAAUACGCUCAUCAAUUGACGUUACUCGCAGAAGAAGCACCGGCUAACUCCGUGCCAGCAGCCGCGGUAAUACGGAGGGUGCAAGCGUUAAUCGGAAUUACUGGGCGUAAAGCGCACGCAGGCGGUUUGUUAAGUCAGAUGUGAAAUCCCCGGGCUCAACCUGGGAACUGCAUUUGAAAACUGGCAAGCUAGAGUCUCGUAGAGGGGGGUAGAAUUCCAGGUGUAGCGGUGAAAUGCGUAGAGAUCUGGAGGAAUACCGGUGGCGAAGGCGGCCCCCUGGACGAAGACUGACGCUCAGGUGCGAAAAGCGUGGGGAGCAAAACAGGAUUAGAUACCCUGGUAGUCCACGCUGUAAAACGAUGUCGAUUUUGGAGGUUGUGCCCUUGAGGCGUGGCUUCCGGAGCUAACGC
rnacentral:rRNA from 1 species